GACGGAGGGUGCAAGCGUUAUCCGGAAUUAUUGGGCGUAAAGCGUACGCAGGUGGCAGUUCAAGUCUGCUGUCAAAGACCGGGGCUUAACUUCGGAAAGGCAGUGGAAACUGAACAGCUAGAGUAUGGUAGGGGCAGAGGGAAUUCCUGGUGUAGCGGUGAAAUGCGUAGAUAUCAGGAAGAACAUCGGUGGCGAAGGCGCUCUGCUGGACCAUAACUGACACUCAGGGACGAAAGCUAGGGGAGCGAAUGGG
rnacentral:rRNA from 1 species